rnacentral:snoRNA from 1 species
AUUCUUUUGUAGUUCAUAAGUGUGAUGAUUGGGUGUUCACACCGUUGUGUGACAUGUGCCACCCUUAUACCUUGUUACAACUCUGGCACAUUACCUGUCUGACA